rnacentral:sRNA from 1 species
UAUAUAUGAUAUAAUAAGUGAUGUAGAAAAGUAGAGACGGUAGCUUCUUAUUUUCUGAAAGUGAGGUGGUGCUUAAUGUUGCAUUCAUCAAAAUCCUACAGAAAGGAGGAGCAUUGUUUGUCAGUGGCAGAAGCACUGCAGGUGAUGUUUGCUUUUGGUGAUUUCAACAUU